ACGGGAGGCAGCAGUGGGGGAUAUUGGACAAUGGGGGAAACCCUGAUCCAGCGAUGCCGCGUGAGGGAAGAAGGUUUUCGGAUUGUAAACCUCUGUGGACAGGGACGAUAAUGACGGUACCUGUUUAGAAAGCCACGGCUAACUACGUGCCAGCAGCCGCGGUAAUACGUAGGUGGCGAGCGUUGUCCGGAAUUACUGGGUGUAAAGGGAGUGUAGGCGGGAGAGCAAGUCAGAAGUGAAAAUUAUGGGCUUAACCCAUAACCUGCUUUUGAAACUGUUCUUCUUGAGUGAAGUAGAGGCAAGCGGAAUUCCUAGUGUAGCGGUGAAAUGCGUAGAUAUUAGGAGGAACACCAGUGGCGAAGGCGGCUUGCUGGGCUUUUACUGACGCUGAGGCUCGAAAGCGUGGGGAGCAAACAGGAUUAGAUACCCUGGUA
rnacentral:rRNA from 1 species